UAGGGUUCGAUUCUGGCUCAGGAUGAACGCUGGCGGCGUGCUUAACACAUGCAAGUCGAACGGAGCUAUGACACGGAGUCUUCGGAUGAAGUGCUAUUGCUUAGUGGCGGACGGGUGAGUAACACGUGAGCAACCUACCUUUUACAGGGGAAUAACUCUGGGAAACCAGAGCUAAUACCGCAUGUCGUGCACAUGGGGCAUCCCAGGUGCAUGAAAGGAGCAAUCCGGCAGAAGAUGGGCUCGCGUCCGAUUAGGUAGUUGGAGAGGUAAUGGCUCCCCAAGCCGACGAUCGGUAGCCGGACUGAGAGGUCGAUCGGCCACAUUGGGACUGAGACACGGCCCAGACUCCUACGGGAGGCAGCAGUGGGGAAUAUUGGGCAAUGGGCGGAAGCCUGACCCAGCGACGCCGCGUGAAGGAGGAAGGCUUUCGAGUUGUAAACUUCUUUGGGGAGGGACGAAGAUGACGGUACCUCCAGAACAAGCCACGGCUAACUACGUGCCAGCAGCCGCGGUAAUACGUAGGUGGCGAGCGUUAUCCGGAUUUACUGGGUGUAAAGGGCGCGCAGGCGGCCCUGGAAGUCAGAUGUGAAAGAUCAAGGCUUAACUUUGACAGGUCAUCUGAAACUUUGGGGCUUGAGUAUCAGAGGGGAAAGUGGAAUUCCUAGUGGAGCGGUAAAAUGCACAGAGAUUAGGAGGAACACCGGUGGCGAAGGCGACUUUCUGGCUGACAACUGACGCUGA
rnacentral:rRNA from 1 species